rnacentral:misc_RNA from 1 species
AAGUCGUAACAAGGUUUCCGUAGGUGAACCUGCGGAAGGAUCAUUAACAAAUAGCGAGAUACCAUGUGUAAUGCGAAACGUUGCUCCCGGUGGGGAGUGGGGCAGCACGAAAAACGUUGUCAGACAAUAGUACGAACGAUUACAGCAACAACUUUUAACAAUGGAUCUCUUGGCUCUU